CAACACACACUUCCAGGGAAUCGACAGUGUGAGCAUUUCCACAAUUGACCGUGUCCUCCAUCGUAACAGGAUGCGAUUGAAACUAGUAUACAGAGUACCUUUUGAGUGCAACUCACCAAGGGUGAAAGAACUGCGAGCUCAGUAUGUGCAAACAAUAUUUGACUUGGAAUCCUUGGACAGACCCCAUGAGUUCAUCUUUGUCGAUGAAGCAGGCUUCAAUCUAACAAAGAGGAGAAGGAGAGGCCGAAACAUGAUUGGACAGCGGGCCAUUGUUGAAGUCCCUGGUCAACGAGGUGGCAAUGUCACAAUCUGUGCUGCUAUCAGCGACCAUGGUGUUCUACAUCACCAUGUUACACUCGGGCCAUAUAACACCCAGCACCUUCUAACAUUUAUUGCCAAUCUAAGAGAUAUUUUAUUUGAGCAGCAGGUUCAAGAGCAACAGGGUCAAGAGCUAAAUGAGAAUCCUAUUCCCACCUAUGUGAUAGUGUGGGACAAUGUCAGUUUCCACCGAGCUGCUCAGGUAAGGGAAUGGUUUAACAUCAAUGGGCAGUUUAUGAACUUGUACCUCCCUCCAUACUCGCCUUUCCUGAAUCCGAUUGAGUUUUUCUCCUCUUGGAGAUGGAAAGUGUAUG
rnacentral:lncRNA from 1 species